UACGUAGGGCGCAAGCGUUAUCCGGAAUUAUUGGGCGUAAAGAGCUCGUAGGCGGUUUGUCGCGUCUGCCGUGAAAGUCCGGGGGCUCAACUCCGGAUCUGCGGUGGGGUACGGGGCAGACUAGAGUGAUGUAGGGGGAGACUGGAAUUCCUGGUGUAGCGGUGAAAUGCGCAGAUAUCAGGAAGAACACCCCGUGGGCGAAAGGCGGGUUCUCUGGGGACGGUACUGACGCUGAGACGCGAAAAGCGUGGGGGAGCGAACAGG
rnacentral:rRNA from 1 species